ACUGGUCAUACUAUUUGUAAUUAAUAUAUGGCAGUAAAGACAGAUACACAGGUAAGGAAGAACACAAGAAAACAGAUACAGUGAAAGACCGGAAGGGGAAGAAAGAUGAAAGCUUAACCUUUUGACCAUCCAGAGGACUCCCUACAGAAGCAUGAGGAGACCCAAUUACCUGAUUAGCUGCUUCCUCUUCUGGCUCCUGAAUAUUAAAAACAGUUGCACUGUCAGCACCUAGUAAUCGACGAGCCAUUCUCUCUUCAUAUGUUAACCUCUAAACAAAGCAAGUCACAGAAAAUACAAAAUUAGAAAAUUCACAAUUACAUACUGCCUCAUAAGGAAUUUUAAAAAAUGAGUUUUGGUGUUUUCUGUAACUAUUUUCUCUCAACCUUCAGAUACCUGUAUAUAAAAGGAGUCUGUUUCAUUCAGUUGUUCAGUUGUUCUCUCACCUCCCUUUCCGGUCUUAGUGGCUUAAUCCUGUGUUGGGAGGUGGGGUAACUACUCUCGAGAGCCACCAACUGAUACAGCACAAAUUUAAGGUGAAUAUAAUAACCAAACAAAGCAGAAACCACAAAGAAAAUACCUGUCAAAUGCUAAUCCUUAAGGAUGCA